rnacentral:rRNA from 1 species
CAGGAUGAACGCUAGCGGCAGGCUAACACAUGCAAGUCGAGGGGCAUCGGGAGUAGCAAUACUGCCGGCGACCGGCGCAAGGGUGCGUAACGCGUGAGCAACAUGCCCGUAUCAGGGGGAUAAUCCAUGGAAACGUGGUCUAAUACCCCAUAGUAAUUAUGUAAGGCAUCUUAUAUAAUUUAAAGCUUUGGUGGAUACGGAUUGGCUCGCGUGACAUUAGCUAGAUGGUAAGGUAACGGCUUACCAUGGCUACGAUGUCUAGGGGUUCUGAGAGGAAGGUCCCCCACACUGGAACUGAGACACGGUCCAGACUCCUACGGGAGGCAGCAGUGAGGAAUAUUGGACAAUGGAUGGAAAUCUGAUCCAGCCAUGCCGCGUGCAAGGAAGACGGCCCUAUGGGUUGUAAACUGCUUUUGUAUGGGAGCAAUAAGGGCUACGCGUAGUCCGAUGAGAGUACCAUACGAAUAGGCACCGGCUAACUCCGUGCCAGCCGCGGC